rnacentral:rRNA from 1 species
UCAAGGAAGAAGUUCUGACGGUACUUGAGGAAUCAGCCUCGGCUAACUCCGUGCCAGCAGCCGCGGUAAUACGGGGGAGGCAAGCGUUAUCCGGAAUUAUUGGGCGUAAAGCGUCCGCAGGUGGUCAGCCAAGUCUGCCGUCAAAUCAGGUUGCUUAACGACCUAAAGGCGGUGGAAACUGGCAGACUAGAGAGCAGUAGGGGUAGCAGGAAUUCCCAGUGUAGCGGUGAAAUGCGUAGAGAUUGGGAAGAAACA